rnacentral:rRNA from 1 species
GACGAGGGGUCCUAGCGUUGCUCGGAAUCAUUGGGCGUAAAGCGGGUGUAGGCGGCUUCAUAAGUCAGUUGUGAAAGCCCCAAGUUCAACUUGGGAAGUGCUUCUGAUACUGUGAGGCUUGAGUAUGGGAGAGGGCGUAGAAUUCCUGGUGAGUGGUGAAUACGUAGAUAUCAGGAGGAAUACCGGUGGCGAAGGCGGGCUGCCUGGCCCAAUACUGACGCUGAGACCCGAAAGCGUGGGGAUCAA